AAUCAAAUGAAAAUAAAAAAAAAUCUGUGUCUUCUUAUGUAAAUAUGGUGCCAAUGACUUGGACAGACAGGGGAGCCAACAUAACGCCAUAGGUACUAUUCGAUGAAACGCACUAUACUGGUCCCAUUUUGGGCUCCAAAUUACUGAUUCCAUUUUGGGCGCCAAAUUACUGAUUCCAUCUUAAGCGUCACAUUAUGAUUGGUAUUUUUACCAGUGCUCUAAGUAUAGAGUUUUUUACUAGUACUCGUUCAAAAAGUUACCAUUUAUGUUCCGUUGAAAUGUUUCCGCAUGGAAUAUUUUAUAGUCUUCAGUAAUACUAAAAAGCUCAUACUCGGGAAACUGAGUGGGCCCAAUUUUCGGUUCCUGAUAAAAUUACUGAUUCCAUUUUGGGCGCCAAAUACGAAUUGUAUUUUUAAGUGUCGAGUGUAGAGUUUUUUACUAAUACCUAGGUACUUGUUCCGAACAAUUAACAUCUAAGUUCCAUAUAAUUGAUACCGCAUCUGUGGAAUAUUGAUUUAAAGUGUUCGGUAAUAGUAAAAAGCUCAUACUUGGGAAAGCUACCAAAAUCUUGCAAGGGCAUCAGUGCUACAGAUAAAAUUUGUUAUCGCUUUUCAAAUUAUGCACGGUAUGGUAGAUUGUCUAUGGUUCCCAUUUGCUCACCUCUAUUUCAUCUUUAGUUCUUUAUAUUCUUUUAUAUUUACUGUUAUCUUAGAGUAGCUGUAUUGGUGAUUGCUUUAUAUUUUCUGUGUGCGUCUGGUUACUUGGCUUACGCUAUCUCUAUGCACAGAAAAUGUCGAGUUUUACCUCAAUUUAUAUUGAACCACACUGGUCAUAGUAUUUUUUUUUAGUUUAUUAUUAGUUUUUAAAUAAAUCUUUAGAACAACAUUUCGUUUUCUUUUUGGUUUUUAUUUCCCUAACUAGGGCGGGGGAUUGUCAAAGUGGACGUGAUUUGCGGCGCUGCACACUAAAAAAAAACAAGAACUGAAACAAAUUAUAUUAAAAAAAAGAAAAACUACUACAAAUUGCCAUUGCGAGUAUGUUCAGAGAUCCAAUGGGUUAUACGUGGAAAGAGUGCAAAGUGUAAUUUUGCUGUAAAUGUGUGAUAUUAUUUUGAAAUCGUCGUUGUUAUGAUGUGGCUUGUGAAGCCUGCGAUGUAAUUAGAAUUAACUCCGGGUGCUUUGACGAUUAUGGACACUUCAUAGUUUAUUGUAUUAGAUAAGAAAACUUUAAUUAACUGCACCGGCAACUAAAUUCUAACUUAGUAAUACACUGAACGAAGCGCGCAGUUAAUUAGAGUUAGUUUUUUUUUUAGUAUUUACUACUACUUUAGUCAGAUUCGCCUCACGUGAUUAGUGGCUCAUAAGUCAUACCUUUAGCAUCAUCUAGUGAUCGAACGUAAUGCAAUAAUUUAUUACUAAAUCAAGUUACAAGAUGUUUGAUGAAGAUAAAUAGGGGUGGAAACAACUGCAACACGCCACAACCGGAUGACACUUACCGCGAGCUGUCAAAAUCACAUCGCAAUGUUAAUAUUACCCCGUCCAAAUAAUCCACUGUUUCAUCCACAAUUUUAGACAGGUCUCUAGAGCGUACUCAGUCUAAAUUUUCAGUUAAAACGAGAAAGAUUUAUGUCAGCGAUAUAACGCUAUCUCUUUUUAACCGUGUCUUAAGUCUGAGCAAAGUCAAAGUUAGCUCUAUAGAUUUCAGCCUUAGAAUUAGGCGUCCACAAAGAUAAACUAGACUGCCUAACGUUAUUAUGGUCGAUAAAACCUAAGGCAAUAUUUAGCCACUUAUGAAAUUUAGAUGUUAAGUAAUAUAUUAAAUGCUUUAUGUACGUUUAAUGUCAUAUUAAUAUUAAAUAAAAUCUACUCGUAUCGCCAGUGCCGAGACUAGAGCAAACAGUCCAAUAAAUUGACCAUAUUUUGGACCGCCAUUACGUCACGGGUUGCCAGAUUAUGUUCGACCUCCUUGGUUGGCUCACGCGUGAUCAUUUACAAAUUUUAUUUCAUGGCCUGAAAUAUAAGAAACUUUUUUCACAACAAAAAAUAAAAACAUUUUGUAUCGUUUUGAUUGAAAUAAACAAUUGUUAUCUCAUGGCAGCCCAGGAACUCAAGCUCACAGCUUUCUUCGCAGUUGCUCAAAUUUCCCAUAAACUCCAUAUUUAUAUCACCGCUUUUAGAAGACCAUUUAUUAAAUUAAAAUCACCAUUUAUGCGGUUGGAUACAAAAACGAGACGCUUAAAGGUCGUCGCUGACUCGCGACGCACUGCUCAAGCCCAGCACAAAACACGCCAUUGAAAUGUGGGCUUUAAGACGAGUUCUGAAGAUAUACUUACUAAUGACAAGAUGCACGCGGUAAGCGACUAAUCAGCACACCACUGAUGUUUUCCAAUCAUUGAUAAAUGUAUCUACAGAUCAAGACUUAAAGUUCAUAUUUGAAUGAUGAGUUAUGCUGUGCUUGGACCGUGUGGCAUAGAUCAGUGUUGACCCUAAUGAAGGAUUUUACGAGUUUCCAUUUCUCACAUAAAUUCUAUCUCGCAUAAAACCACGUAUAAAUAUAAUUUUUAAAGCCAAAUUUCUCAUUUUAAACGGAAACUUGUACAAUCCCUUAGAUCAAUUUGCUGGCACUGUAAAAUCGAAAGGCGACAGACAUUAUGAUCGCUUUUAUAGUGACAGUGUGACUAGAGACGUGUAGGGUUAGUAUGAGAUUUUAUAUCACCAUCUUUGACAGAAUUCGUGUCGAAGCACCUUAGGGUUAAAAUAAAAUGGACGUUAACAACCUUGCUUCGAAGCUCAAGUUCUUAACUACAUUCACAGCCAGCGCUCCCAGCGGAAACCUUUCGAAAUUAAAAUAAGUGGUUGUGAUUUUUUUACUUUAAAUCAACGAUAUUUAGAUCCAUUUCACUCGAAUCGCUCGAAUUCUAUCAAUUAUUGAUGAGAUGAAAAAUCUCAUGCUGACCCUAUAAAUUAGCGAGUCGAAUUUUGUGUGUUGCCGUUCUAACGUAAUAUUACAUAAUGGUGCUAGUUCGGUUGCCCACAAUCUUACCAAACAAAAUUAACAAGUGUAAAAUUAAUGCUAUCCUUUUUUCGGGAUAAAUUGCGAAAGAGAUAGCGCUAUUUUUAAACGUGUCAAUAUAGUUUAGAGAUUGUGUACAAUUGAAUUAGAACAGUAGAACUUAUUUAAUAGUGCUGGUCGGCUAUCUUUGUAUUCUCGAACUAAGCGUAUUCGCAUACUGGAAGAUUUUCUCUCAAGACUCAAUUUAAUAGUGGCCUUCACCCAGCGCAACUUGUUGAAAACCAGUUGCCAAUAGCCACACAACCAGAAAUGUAUGUGCCACCAUAUACAUAUGCCUUGAAAACUACUUUUUUCGUGUGAGAAUAGACUUAUGGUUAUGUACUAUAUUUAUAUCGUACUUUUACUAUUGAUUACAUACAAAGAACAAUAAAUUACCAUAUAUUAUAUGAAUAUAUAAUAUAAAUAAUUACGUAUAAAAUACCAUCCAUAUUCAUACGACAUCUCUAAAAUACUUCAGGAAUCCGUAGCAUACGUUUGCUCUCCCCGUCACUGAAGUAUCGCACCGAUCAAGCACAGCAUAGUCAUUCAAAAGUGUGCUGUGCAUGAGUUGUGCCGCGUAAGUCAGUGACAACCUUUACUAUAGUUUGUUCGAAAAUACAGAUAUACUCAACUGGCAUUAAUAAAUGAAAAUGUAAGCCUUGACACUUGUACAAUAGCAACACUUCCCAUACAAACUGCCAAAAGUUAAAUAAUAUUAUAGCUCUUACAGCAUAAGAAAUAGAGUACAUUAUUCAAUUAAAGAUGCUUAUUCGGUUGUACACAAAGCUAAACUAAAUUGACAGUACCUCUAAUAUGAGUUAGAAUAGUUAUCGAAAACGAAAUUCGAUAUAGAGUUCGACCUUACAUUUCACAGCUUGAGCUCCUAGCGAAACUUUAGUGACAAAAACUAUAAUUAUAACAUUAGGAUUUCAUAAACAGAAGCUGUAGGUCCUUUUUGCUCUGUCAAGUAUAAUAAAGAAACCAUUAACGAAACUCAAAAAUACCAAAGCUUUCGAGAUGGGAACACCUGCUAGGGGUAGUCACAGAUCUAAAAGUAGGUAUCUUGUUCGAUAGGUACCGAUUCGGUAUUAGAUUCAAAGUUCCCUAACGAAAGUGAUAGUUAACUUGUAUUCCUGUCAAUUUAGUUCGGAAUUUGCGUAGAAUUAAAAAAACUCCGAAUACCAAAACGCUUUUUAAAAAUUCAGGCCCCCUCAAAUUUUAAUUGAAGAGUUCUGGCAUUUCGUUCGUAGAACUAACGCCAAAUGAUUGUCACUUAAUAUUUGAGGUGCGUCUAAAUUUUAAGAUGAGUUUAGUAUUCGGUCGUUAGCGUCAUCGGCUUGAUAUAAUUUUGUAGAUGGAAAUGUUGCUGUGUGCACGAGGAGCCACAGACUAAAGGAAAAAGCUAGACGAGAAUCGCAGAAACAAACUUUUGCAAGGAUUUCCUAAACGCUGAUGUCGGUCGCACGUACGAAUACUGCUGCCGCGUUGUGCAAGCGUGACGGACAUCAGCGUAAGAGAAGCCGACUGCAGAUUACAUUGUGCUCCAAGCAUGUUAUAGUUUGACAGCCUUCUUGUCUUUUUUUUCUUUUAUUAGGGUGCCAUUUUACUAUAGUAUAGUUUUCAACUGAUUCUAGGCUGCCAAUCGAAAGCUUACGUACGCUGUGUAUGGUCAAAUCGGUCGUUCUGCGUCACUGCGUGCGAUACGCAAUUUACCGCCGAAUGCGUACCGUACGCAAUUUACGCUAAAUGCGUAUCGUACGCAAAUUUACCGCUUAAGGGUACGCAAAUUUACCGUUCGCAAUUAACCGUUAAAUGCGUACCGAACGCAAUUUUUCGUUAACUGUGUACAACUUCUACUAACUUCACUAUAUGACCAGUAUGUACGAAGUGUACGGUAAAUUGUUCCUUAGACCGUUCUAAUAAAGUCUAAUUUGCCACAGCGACAGUUUAAAGUUUAGAGUUACCCAGAAUACAGUCAGAUGCAGCUAUACGUUUAGUGAAAUCGUGCCCUUACACCUUUAGAACAUCAAUGCACUCGCACGCGGUAGACAAACGAGUAACACCUUUACGUCUAAGGCAUAAAGGAAUAUCGCGUGCAAAUGCGCCAAUGUGCUAAAGGGAUACGUCUGUGACCAAAGCAGAGCGAAUCGACUGCACAUUGUGGUAUAAUGUAAUAUUACCCUGACUGUACGACAAUUGUAUUACCACAGAAAACAAAAUAUUUAAUAUUGUUGAUGUUGAUUGUUAAUAAAAUGCAAAUAAUGUAAAUAUCAAAAUAAAUUCUGUAUUUGUAUUUGAA